rnacentral:rRNA from 1 species
AGGGUUUGAUCAUGGCUCAGAACGUACGCUGGCGGCACGCCUAACACAUGCAAGUCGAACGAAGUAGCAAUACUUAGUGGCAGACGGGUGAGUAACAUGUGGGUAUCUACCCUUUGGCCUGGAAUAACACGAGGAAACUUGUGCUAAUACCGGAUAAGUCUUUACGGAGAAAGCUUUAUGCACCAUUGGAUGAGCCCGCACUUGAUUAGUUUGUUGGUAGGGUAAUGGCCUACCAAGACUAUGAUCAAUAGCUGAUUUGAGAGGAUGACCAGCCACAUUGGGACUGAGACACGGCCCAAACUCCUACGGGAGGCAGCAGUGGGGAAUCUUGCACAAUGGAGGAAACUCUGAUGCAGCGAUGCCGCGUGAGUGAAGAAGGCCUUUGGGUUGUAAAGCUCUUUCGUCGGGGAAGAAAAUGACUGUACCCGAAUAAGAAGGUCCGGCUAACUUCGUGCCAGCCGCCGCGGUAAUAC